CAUUCGUAUUGCGCGUUUUUUAAAAUAUGCAAAAUUAAAUGUAUAUUUUUCAAUAUUUCUGAGAGAUUAUCUUAAUAUUUCUUCGAGUUUUAAAGACUAAGAAGAUUUUUAUUUGCUAAUAAGUGUUUGUUAAUCAAGUUGGAAUUUCGUUUUUAACAAUGCUACCAACCAGACGUACAAGCUUAGAGGCCGCAGAACUCGACAUCAUUUGGGGCAACAAAAGUUAUACGAGACAAUUUUUUUUUAGUUUUAAAACCAUGUAGCUGGUGCAAAAUAUGUCGAGUCAGUGAUGUGUUUAUUUUGUAAACAAUAAAUCAAAUUACUAAUAAUAGUCUAUAAUCCGAAGACUUAAUCAGCAACAUUUAUAACAUGUUGUAUUUUAUAGUGGCAUGAGCAAGAUGUUCUUGGUAAAGCCUACUACCUAAAGCUGCCGUGGAAGGCUGUUUAAUGUCGAGGUUAAAAGUAGUUUUAAUUUGAAAUGAUGUAAUGUAUUGUGGCAGUAUUUUGCGAGCCACAUGGUGGUACAAUUUGCUAUACAAUUGCCUGUAUACAUAUUUAUAUUCUUGCAGAUUCAGGGAUUCAAAUAUAUCAUCAAACAGGUUCCUUAUUGCCAGUGCCUGUUGAAGACUAUACAUUUUUGCAAAUAUAUUUUAUGGACAAUUCAGCAAGAGAAGUCGAUCAGCGUUGCGCACACAACAACUCAGUAAAGAGAUCCAUUGUGAUGAACAACUUCAAACAUUUUUCCUUCAACACAAUGAAUUAGUUGCAUUAGACCGAUGCAUUAGACAUUCACAAAUGCAUUAGACCGCAUGCCAUCAGAUAAUCACAAAAUUGUCAUCAGAGCCGAUAAGGCGCCUGCAGAACAGCGAAAUGAUUGAAUCCUAUGAAAUAAACACUAUUAUGAAAAUA